rnacentral:rRNA from 1 species
CAGCAGCCACGGUAAGACGUAGGAUGCAAGCGUUGUCCGGAUUUAUUGGGCGUAAAGAGUUCGUAGGCGGUUUAUUAAGUCUGAUGUUAAAGAUCGGGGCUCAACCCUGGGAGUGCAUUGGAUACUGUAUAGCUAGAGUACGGCAGAGGGGGAUGGAAUUCCGCGUGUAGCAGUGAAAUGCGUAGAUAUGCGGAGGAACACCGAUGGCGAAGGCAAUCCCCUGGGCCUGUACUGACGCUCAUGCACGAAAGCGUGGGGAGCAAACAGGAUUAGAUACCCCUGUAGUCCCUGUCUCUUAUAC